rnacentral:rRNA from 1 species
UACGAAGGGGGCUAGCGUUGCUCGGAAUCACUGGGCGUAAAGGGUGCGUAGGCGGGUUUUUAAGUCAGGGGUGAAAUCCUGGAGCUCAACUCCAGAACUGCCUUUGAUACUGAGGAUCUUGAGUUCGGGAGAGGUGAGUGGAACUGCGAGUGUAGAGGUGAAAUUCGUAGAUAUUCGCAAGAACACCAGUGGCGAAGGCGGCUCUCUGGAACGCAACUGACGCUGAGACGCGAAAGCGUGGGGAGCAAACAGG